rnacentral:rRNA from 1 species
UGGGGAAUAUUGCACAAUGGGCGCAAGCCUGAUGCAGCAACGCCGCGUGAGGGAUGACGGCCUUCGGGUUGUAAACCUCUUUUAGCAGGGAAGAAGCGAAAGUGACGGUACCUGCAGAAAAAGCACCGGCUAACUACGUGCCAGCAGCCGCGGUAAUACGUAGGGUGCAAGCGUUGUCCGGAAUUAUUGGGCGUAAAGAGCUCGUAGGCGGUCUGUCGCGUCUGCUGUGAAAUCCCGAGGCUCAACCUCGGGCCUGCAGUGGGUACGGGCAGACUAGAGUGCGGUAGGGGAGAAUGGAACUCCUGGUGUAGCGGUGGAAUGCGUAGAUAUCAGGAAGAACACCGAUGGCGAAGGCAGUUCUCUGGGCCGUAACUGACGCUGAGGAGCGAAAGCGUGGGGAGCGAAACAGGAUUAGAUACCCUGGUAGUCCACGCCGUAAACGUUGGGCGCUAGAUGUGGGGACCAUUCCACGGUUUCCGUGUCGCAGCUAACGCAUUAAGCGCCCCGCCUGGGGAGUACGGCGCAAGGCUAAAACUUAAAUGAAUUGNCGGGGUCAUAGCUGUUUCC